rnacentral:tRNA from 1 species
UAGAAUGUGGUGUAAUAUGGUAGCACGGAGACUUUUGGGUUCUCAUGUGUAGGUUCAAGUCCUGCGAUUCUAG